rnacentral:snRNA from 1 species
UUUGAUCUGCUGGUGUUGGCCUAGUAUAGUAUCUGAUCUUAAAAGUUUAAUAUCUGAUAUGCCCUUAAUAAGAGGAUUUUAUAUUAAACAGGCUAUAUAAUUUUAUAUUAAACUUUGGGGCAUGGAGUUGGACCUGGAGCUUGCUGUCUCUGUUUCAUGCAUUUUCCCUGCAUUGCAGUGACUCUGGGAAUGGUGCACGGACA